rnacentral:rRNA from 1 species
CCUACGGGGUGCAGCAGUGGGGAAUAUUGGGCAAUGGGCGCAGGCCUGACCCAGCAACGCCGCGUGAAGGAAGAAGGCUUUCGGGUUGUAAACUUCUUUUGACAGGGAAGAGUAGAAGACGGUACCUGUCGAAUAAGCCACGGCUAACUACGUGCCAGCAGCCGCGGUAAUACGUAGGUGGCAAGCGUUGUCCGGAUUUACUGGGUGUAAAGGGCGUGUAGCCGGGUUGACAAGUCAGAUGUGAAAUCCUGCGGCUUAACCGCAGAACUGCAUUUGAAACUGUUGAUCUUGAGUACUGGAGAGGCAGACGGAAUUCCUAGUGUAGCGGUGAAAUGCGUAGAUAUUAGGAGGAACACCAGUGGCGAAGGCAGUCUGCUGGACAGCAACUGACGGUGAGGCGCGAAAGCGUGGGGAGCAAACAGGAUUAGAUACCCGGGUAGUC